rnacentral:snRNA from 1 species
AUUCUUCAGCAGCACAUAUUCUAAAAUUGGAGUGGUGCAGAGAGAAGCAUGGCCCCUGCACAAGGGUGACACAGAAAUUCGUGAAGCAUUCCAUACUCAU